rnacentral:rRNA from 1 species
AUGAACGCUGGCGGCGUGCCUAACACAUGCAAGUCGAACGAUGAAACCGCCCUCGGGCGGACAUGAAGUGGCGAACGGGUGAGUAACACGUGACCGACCUGCCCCCCGCCCAGGGACAGCCCCCCGAAAGGGGGAUUAAUACCUGGUACUCCGGAAGCGGCGCAUGCCGCAUCCGGGAAAGCUCUCGCGGCGGGGGAUGGGGUCGCGGCCCAUCAGGUAGACGGCGGGGCAGAGGCCCACCGUGCCGACGACGGGUAGCCGGGUUGAGAGACCGACCGGCCACAUUGGGACUGAGAUACGGCCCAGACUCCUACGGGAGGCAGCAGUGGGGAAUUUUGCGCAAUGGGGGCAACCCUGACGCAGCAACGCCGCGUGCGGGACGAAGGCGUCCGCGUCGUAAACCGCUUUCAGCGGGGAACACCUAAACGAGGGUACCCGCAGAAGAAGCCCCGGCUAAAUACGUGCCAGCAGCCGCGGUAAUACGUAUGGGGCGAGCGUUAUCCGGAUUCAUUGGGCGUAAAGCGCGCGUAGGCGGAGCGCUAAGCGGGACCUCUAACCCGAGGGCUCAACCCCCGGCCGGGUCCCGAACUGGCGCUCUCGAGUGCGGUAGGGGAGAGCGGAAUUCCCGGUGUAGCGGUGGAAUGCGCAGAUAUCGGGAAGAACACCGACGGCGAAGGCAGCUCUCUGGGCCGAAACUGACGCUGAGGCGCGAAAGCUGGGGGAGCGAACAGGAUUAGAUACCCUGGUAGUCCCAGCCGUAAACGAUGGGCGCUAGGUGUGGGGGAUGAGAUCCCCCGUGCCGCAGCCAACGCAUUAAGCGCCCCGCCUGGGGAGUACGGCCGCAAGGCUAAAACUCAAAGGAAUUGACGGGGGCCCGCACAAGCGGUGGAGCAUGUGGUUUAAUUCGAAGCAACGCGAAGAACCUUACCAGGGCUUGACAUCCUACUAACGAAGUAGAGAUACAUCAGGUGCCCUUCGGGGAAAGUAGAGACAGGUGGUGCAUGGUUGUCGUCAGCUCGUGUCGUGAGAUGUUGGGUUAAGUCCCGCAACGAGCGCAACCCCUGCCCCGUGUUGCCAGCAUUCAGUUGGGGACUCGCGGGGGACUGCCGGCGUCAAGCCGGAGGAAGGUGGGGACGACGUCAAGUCAUCAUGCCCCUUAUGCCCUGGGCCGCACACGUGCUACAAUGGCCGGUACAGAGGGUUGCGACCCCGCGAGGGGGAGCGGAUCCCGCAAAGCCGGCCCCAGUUCGGAUCGGAGGCUGCAACCCGCCUCCGUGAAGCCGGAGUUGCUAGUAAUCGCGGAUCAGCACGCCGCGGUGAAUACGUUCCCGGGCCUUGUACACACCGCCCGUCACACCACCCGAGUCGUCUGCACCCGAAGCCGCCGGCCGAACCCCCCUGGGGGCGGAGGCGUCGAAGGUGUGGAGGGUGAGGGGGGUG